AAUGAAUUGCCUGAUAAAA
rnacentral:tRNA from 1 species